rnacentral:lncRNA from 1 species
GAAACUAGAAGCCCUAGUUUUCUUCGUCUCUCACAUCUAAUCUCCCAGCCUCCUCCUGCGUCCUCCCUGUCUCUCUCGACUCUCUCUCUCCCCUCUCGACUCCGCCGCCGGCGCCGCUGCCCCGCGCCGGCCCGUCGCCGCCCACCCUUGUCGCUGCGUCGCGCCGCUGCCGCCCACCCUCGUCUCCCUCUUAAUCUCCUCUCUCUCUGACUCAAAUGCACGCACACCACACCGCGCCUGAAAUCCUAGAUCUAUAAUCUACAGCCACCUCCCUGCCGAUUCCCGUCGACCGCACGGCGGGAAGGCCGCCGCCUCCGAGCGCAGCCCAAAGCCCCCUCUUCUCUCCAUAAUCCGGCGACAACAGCGGCUCCUUGCCGCCGCCGUGCCCUAGCUUCAAUCCGCCGCUGAACUCCCUCUUCCGGCCGCACCACCUGUCCGACCACCACAGCACCAGCCCAGCCGCCUUCGUCGCAGCGCAACACCACCGCGACCCACUCCAGAACCGCUGCCCUCCUCCACCGUUCAGGGAAGUUUAUUUCUUCAUUUUUGUGUUGUUCCAAUCAGGACUUGAUUUUUUGCUAAAUUAGGGCUCAAAUCUAGAAAGAGCCUUCCCCAAAUUGAUCUAUAAAAGGAUUUGAACAUAUUGACGCUAUUAAGUCCAGAUAACUAUUUUCCCUUAUUUCAACAUAGAAAACAGGGUCAGAUUUGGAGAUUUAUCUUCUGCGGAAUUGAUCAGAUAUAUUCUUUUGCAUCUUGUUAGCCUCAUAUUCCCCCCUUAUAAACAUUUUGCCUUCGUUACUUAUUGUUGGCUGGAGAUGAAUAAAUCAAUGACAACUUUCAGAGCAUGUUUUCGUACUAUUUUGACUUCCAUUUCCAUAUAUUUUCCUUUUGUCUACUCAGAGAAUGUAUUGCCAGGAAUUCUGCUGAGCUUUUAUUCAAUAACACAACGAUGUAUUGUAUUGUAUUGCUUUUACUCAAUAUCUUUCUUUUGAAUCUUUGUCAAGGAGAAACUGAACACAAGACAAAAGAAGAUAAUAAUCAGUAUUAGUUCGAGAUAAUUGCCAAGGAGAUUAAGGUACCGAUUCAGCAGAGGAAUUGGGGUAUGCCCAAAUUUUUAUAUUUUUGGAUUAUUAUUUAUGUGUCAAGUUUCAUGAGCAUUUUUGGGAGAGAAAUAUACUGCUUUUUGUUAAUCAAAAAUGGAUAAUAAUGAGUUGAAAACUAUGUAAUUGUGUUACUAGGAAUGCAAUGGCAUGAAUGCAACUUUUAAGUAUCCCAACAUUUUGAAAUAUUGUUGAUGUGUUGAUUGCCGAAAUCGUUGGGUUAUGUUUCGAUGAAUGGAGAUGCAUAUAAUUUGGAUUUUGACUUUGUCUAUGUAGAAGCCAGUAACAGUAUCAUAAUCUGCUAUGCAAUCUAUGUCGAUUUUAUACCGAUAGGAUGAGAUGUAGCUUGAAUACGAAAUCUCUGCCGUUAUUGGCAUUGCUUGAUAGCUAAGAGUCUAUUGUUUUACUUUUAUUUUAUGCAGAAAUUUGUGCAUCAGUCCACCCCCACAGUAAACAAUGACGCACAAUCCUAUUGAACCUGCACAAAUUGUGUUACUGAUAGAGGAGAUAAUGCAUGUGUAUUUGAUGGAACUCAUAUGUGUAAUGAAUCUUCUAACUAGGAUGGACAAAAGAAAGAGGAAGCGUACUGAUGAAGUUGAGACAUAUUCUAUGAUUCAAAGAAUCCCUGACCAAGUUAAGCACUUGAACAGAAUGGUAGGAGUUACUGAUAUUGAUUGCAUUGAAAAUCUUCGCAUGGAUCGUAACACUUUCGGUAGAUUAUGUCUUUUAUUACGACAAUUAGGGGGUUUGAUCAAUAGUUUUGUAGACUCAAGAGCUUGCGGGGCGCAGGAAAGAGAAUGUUACCAUACAAUGGGAGUGCUUCGUGUCAAUUUAGGAUGCUUCGUAUCCUUACAUGCUCCUCAUCAAUUUCUUUGACAUCUCUAAAUUCUCUAUAGUUGAUCAUUUUAUGGUGAAAGACAUCUUAGUGUAAUCAAAUCUGCUAAGUUACAACUUUAGAGUCAUAUGUAGAAAAAUGAUCUCAUAUUAUCAUAAUUCUUCUUAUGGGCAUCUCUGAAUUAGAACUGCAUUUUUCUGUUUUUGUAUUUGUUUUCUUGGGUGUAAUUUUCAUUUCACUGGAUGGUAUAGGUGCUAAACCGGAUUGCUGGACUGGACAGGAAAUCAUGAUUUCCUAAUAGUUUUGAAUAAGUGAAUUUGGGCAUUCUUGAGGUAAGAUAACUAAAUGUUUGAAGCUUAUGUAAUUGAACUCUUGGGAGCGUGGAAUGUGAUUAUAUGAUAGAAAUUGGGGGAUAUUGAGCAUGUUA